rnacentral:tRNA from 1 species
GGUGGCUCAGCGGUAGAGCGCUUGCCUAGCAUGCUUGAGGCCCUGGGUUCGAUUCCUCAGCACCA